ensembl:misc_RNA Y_RNA Y RNA
GGCUGAUCUGAUGGUAGUGGGUUAUCAGAACUUAUUAACAUUAGAGUCACUAUAGUUGGUAUACAACCCCCCACUGCUACAUUUGACUGGCUGAAA